rnacentral:pre_miRNA from 1 species
AGUAGAAUGGCUGGGUCAAAUUGUGGUUCCAUUCCAAGUUUUCUAAGGAAUCUCCAUACUGCUUUUCAGAUUAGCUGUUCCAAUUUGCAGUCCCACUAGCAAU